rnacentral:rRNA from 1 species
UACAGAGGUCCCGAGCGUUGUUCGGAUUCACUGGGCGUAAAGGGUGCGUAGGUGGUGAGGUAAGUCGGAUGUGAAAUCUCCGGGCUCAACCCGGAAAUGGCAUUGGAAACUACCUUGCUGGAGGAUUUGAGGGGGGAUUGGAAUACUUGGUGUAGCAGUGAAAUGCGUAGAUACCAAGUGGAACACCAGUGGCGAAGGCGAAUCCCUGGAAAAUACCUGACACUGAGGCACGAAAGCUAGGGGAGCAAACAGG